UAUACUGUGGUGUAAGGCACGAAAGAUUUUGAUUCUUUAGGUAAUAUUAAUAAUUAUUUGGUGUAU
rnacentral:tRNA from 1 species